rnacentral:rRNA from 1 species
GACGAACGCUGGCGGCGUGCCUAGUACAUGCAAGUUGAGCGCUGAAGGUUGGUACUUGUACCAACUGGAUGAGCAGCGAACGGGUGAGUAACGCGUGGGGAAUCUGCCUUUGAGCGGGGGACAACAUUUGGAAACGAAUGCUAAUACCGCAUAAAAACUUUAAACACAAGUUUUAAGUUUGAAAGAUGCAAUUGCAUCACUCAAAGAUGAUCCCGCGUUGUAUUAGCUAGUUGGUGAGGUAAAGGCUCACCAAGGCGAUGAUACAUAGCCGACCUGAGAGGGUGAUCGGCCACAUUGGGACUGAGACACGGCCCAAACUCCUACGGGAGGCAGCAGUAGGGAAUCUUCGGCAAUGGACGAAAGUCUGACCGAGCAACGCCGCGUGAGUGAAGAAGGUUUUCGGAUCGUAAAACUCCGUUGGUAGAGAAGAACGUUGGUGAGAGUGGAAAGCUCAUCAAGUGACGGUAACUACCCAGAAAGGGACGGCUAACUACGUG